GGUCGCGUAGCCAAGAAGAAAGGCAAGGGACUGCAAAUCCCUUAUACGUGGGUGCAAAUCCCACCGCGACCU
rnacentral:tRNA from 2 species